CCUACGGGAGGCAGCAGUGAGGAAUAUUGGUCAAUGGCCGUAAGGCUGAACCAGCCAAGUAGCGUGAGGGAAGACUGCCCUAUGGGUUGUAAACCUCUUUUAUGCGGGGAUAAAGGUGUCCACGUGUGGAUGUUUGCAGGUACCGCAUGAAUAAGGACCGGCUAAUUCCGUGCCAGCAGCCGCGGUAAUACGGAAGGUCCGGGCGUUAUCCGGAUUUAUUGGGGUUAAAGGGAGCGUAGGCCGGGCUUUAAUCGUGCCGUGAAAUUUUGUGGGUCACCCAUGAGAGUGCGGCGCGAACUGGAGACCUUGAGUGCGCGGAAGGCAGGCGGAAUUCGUGGUGUAGCGGUGAAAUGCUUAGAUAUCACGAAGAACCUCGAUUGCGAAGGCAGCCUGCCGCAGCGUUACUGACGCUGACAUUGAUGCUCGAAAGUGUGGGUAUCAAACAGGAUUAGAUACCCCAGUAGUC
rnacentral:rRNA from 1 species